rnacentral:rRNA from 1 species
GACGAACGCUGGCGGCGUGCUUAACACAUGCAAGUCGAACGGAAAGGCCCUGCUUUUGUGGGGUGCUCGAGUGGCGAACGGGUGAGUAACACGUGAGUAACCUGCCCUUGACUUUGGGAUAACUUCAGGAAACUGGGGCUAAUACCGGAUAGGAGCUCCUGCUGCAUGGUGGGGGUUGGAAAGUUUCGGCGGUUGGGGAUGGACUCGCGGCUUAUCAGCUUGUUGGUGGGGUAGUGGCUUACCAAGGCUUUGACGGGUAGCCGGCCUGAGAGGGUGACCGGCGACAUUGGGACUGAGGUACGGCCCAGACUCCUACGGGAGGCAGCAGUGGGGAAUAUGGCACAAUGGGCGGAAGCCUGAUGCAGCAACGCCGCGUGCGGGAUGACGGCCUUCGGGUUGUAAACCGCUUUCGCCUGUGACGAAGCGUGAGUGACGGUAAUGGGUAAAGAAGCACCGGCUAACUACGUG